rnacentral:tRNA from 1 species
AUUUAUAUAAUAUAAAUAUGUAUAUUUAACUUCCAAUUAAAAAGUCUGAAAAAUUUCUCAGUAUAAAUA